rnacentral:rRNA from 1 species
GAUGAACGCUAGCGGCAGGCCUAACACAUGCAAGUCGAGGGGUAGAAUUAGCUUGCUAAUUUGAGACCGGCGCACGGGUGCGUAACGCGUAUGCAAUCUACCUUGUACAGGGGGAUAGCCCAGAGAAAUUUGGAUUAAUACCCCAUGGUAUAAUUAAUUUGCAUGAAUUGAUUAUUAAAGUUCCAACGGUACAAGAUGAGCAUGCGUCCCAUUAGCUAGUUGGUGUGGUAACGGCAUACCAAGGCGACGAUGGGUAGGGGUCCUGAGAGGGAGAUCCCCCACACUGGUACUGAGACACGGACCAGACUCCUACGGGAGGCAGCAGUGAGGAAUAUUGGUCAAUGGUCGGAAGACUGAACCAGCCAUGCCGCGUGCAGGAAGAAGCAUCUAUGGUGUGUGAACCUGCUUUUGUACGGGAAGAAACACUCCUACGUGUAGGAGCUUGACGGUACCGUAAGAAUAAGGAUCGGCUAACUCCGUGCCAGCGAGUCC